CCCUUAGAGUUUGAUCCUGGCUCAGAACGAACGCUGGCGGCACGCUUCAUACAUGCAAGUCGCGCGAUUAAACCCCUUUCGGGGGGAUAUAAAGCGGCGAACGGGUGAGUAACAGGUGGAUAAUCUGCCUUCCGGUAGGGGAUACCGGCUGGAAACGGCCGUUAAUACCGUAUGUGACUACAUUCUUUUGGGAGUGUAGGGAAAGGCGCUUCACGGCGUCACCGGGAGAUGAGUCCGCCCCCCAUUAGCUAGUUGGUGUGAUAAUAGCGCACCAAGGCAGUGAUGGGUAGCCGAGCUGAGAGGUUGAUCGGCCACACUGGGACUGAGACACGGCCCAGACACCUACGGGUGGCAGCAGUAGGGAAUAUUGGACAAUGGGCGCAAGCCUGAUCCAGCGAUGCCGCGUGAGUGAUGAAGGCCUUCGGGUCGUAAAGCUCUUUUCCAAGGGAAGAACCGCCGGGGGAGGAAAUGCCUCUGGUUUGACGGUACCUUGGGAAUAAGGAACGGCUAACUCCGUGCCAGCAGCCGCGGUAAUACGGAGGUUCCUAGCGUUGUUCGGAAUUACUGGGCGUAAAGGGAGCGCAGGCGGAUCGUUAAGUCUAAAGUGGAAUCCCGGGGCUCAACCUCGGACGUGCUUUGGAUACUGGCGGUCUUGAGUUCGCGAGAGGAAGCGGAAUUCAGGGUGUAGCGGUGAAAUGCUUAGAUAUCCUGAGGAACACCAGUGGCGAAAGCGGCUUUCUGGCGCGAAACUGACGCUGAGCUCGAAAGCGUGGGGAGCGA
rnacentral:rRNA from 1 species